rnacentral:rRNA from 1 species
GUCUAUGACCAUAGGAUCCUGUAUGUGGCUGGCCUUCAUCUGAUCUCAGGAGCUAAGCAGGGUCGGGUUUAGUUAGUACUUAAGUGGGAGAAAGUUAACACUUAAGCA